GCUGGGUGUGGUGGUGUGUGCCUGUAAUCCCAGCUACUUGGGAGGCUGAGGCAGGAGAAUCGCUUGAGCCCAGGAGGCGGAGGUUGCAGUGAGCAGAGAUUGCACCACUGCACUCCAGCCUGGGUAACAGAGUGAGACUCCGUCUCAA
ensembl:misc_RNA Metazoa_SRP Metazoan signal recognition particle RNA